GGUCGAAGGUCACCUGGUCCAGCCCUAACUAUAUGCUUUAGCAAAAAGGAAAGUUUUAAGCCUAAUCUUGAAAGUAGAGAUAGUGUCUGUCUCCUGAAUCCAAACUGGAAGCUGGUUCCACAGAAGAGGGGCCUGAAAACUGAAGGCUCUGCCUCCCAUUCUACUUUUAAAUACUCUAGGAACAACAAGUAGGCCUGCAGUGUGAGAGCGAAGUGCUCUAAUAGGGUGAUAUGGUACUAUCUAAUCCAAGCUGGCCCGCUCUCCUGAGAAGCAACGAGCAGAAGUCAGCCAGCAGUAGCCACAGGGGUACAGCAGCCUCUGUGCAGUCUGUAGGCUAAAAGCUGCAGUUCUGGAUAAAACGUCCAUUAGUCCUUGUCCCCCCUCUGACACAGGAAGAUACAGGGCCAAUGCUGACCAGACCAGACAAACUUCACCAGAAGCUGCUGCACCUCUUCCAGACGACCAGGUGGUGGCACUAAAACAGUAAAUGUGUGCAUAAGGAUGAGGCAGCUACGUAUCUACUACAUCUAGAUACCAACGAGACAUCCGCUCUGAGCUGGCUGACAAACCCCUGCUCUUUCAGAAAAUAACAACCGCUGUAUUCAUCCAUGAAGCGUAUGAAAUGUUUCCAUGUCCCACCUGCUCUCCUACAGCCAACAGCACCUGCUCGAGGGUGGUGCUCGGCUGCAGCUCCACCCUGACUCCAUGCUUCAAGGAUGGCGUCCCACUGGACGCCAUCUCUGCCAAGAACACAACAAACUAACAAUCACAGACAGCUCUGAAACGAUCACACAACAAACACAGGAAGAAAACUGAAAAAGCAUUUAAUGAAAAACUCAGUCUCACUCACACCCACCAAACUCCCAGCAUGCAGUGCAAGCGAGUGAGAUAAACAGAGAGAGAGAGAGAGAGGCUAUUUUGGCUUCAUGUAAAAAGCCUCCACAGUAACAGGAAGUCACGAUGCCUCAGAUGAGCUUUAUUCUCAUGUUUUUAGUGAUGAGAUUUUCUGCUUCUGAGGAAGUGAAGAAGAACCUGACGGGCACUGUGGGAGGAAACAUCACUCUACCUGCACCUGUGCUGGAGAAAGGAUAUCUGUUAUAUGGAAGAACGAUUAUUGCUGAUGUGAUUAAGGGAGAAUUUCAAGUAUUUGUGGAAAAGUACAAGAACCGACUUCAGUGGGACAGAAACUCUGGACUCUUUACACUCACAGAGCUGCAGAGGAACGACUCAGGGAUUUAUACUGUCGACUCUAAAACAGGAAAAGUAAUUUUUAUUCUCCAUCAACUUUCGUCCCCAGACUCUGUACCGACUCCUGCAGUGAAGAAAGUGAGUGUGAGCUCUGAGAGCUGCUCCUUACUGUGUUUGGUGGACAGAGAGACCACACUGCUGUGGUUUAAAGACGAGCAGAGACUGAACCAGAGCAGCUCUGCGCUCUCUCUGCCUCUCACUGUGCACAAACAGGACUUCAGCUCCUCUUACAGAUGUGUGGCUGCAAACCCUGCAGACGAGAAAACUCUUCCUGUCCCUGUGAAUACGACCUGUGGAGACACAGACGACACAGGUAAGACUGAAUCUGCUGUGAACCUUCGUGUUUCAGGCUGAUGUGCUGAUGUGAACGUGUGUGUCAGGUGACAGGAACACAGACUCCUGGUUGUUCCUGGUUCCCAUGGCUGUGUGUUGGAGUGCUGUUGUUGUUUCGAUGGUUCUGAUGGAGGGGAAGAGAGAGGCUGAGACGGCUUCACCAUCAGCUGUGCACUCACAUCAGUACGAACUCUGCUGCCUACAUGAUAACAAAGCACACAUACACUGUGUGUGUUUUAUAUUAUCCCUCCUUAUUUUACAUAUAUCUUCCUUAUUUUCUAUUUCAUCUUAACAGGUGUGACCUUCACUGAAACACUGGAAAUAACAACGCUUUUAGGUGCAGUUUGAAAUCGUCUUCUAAACCCGAGGAGAGGAACGUGAUCCAGAGCACAGCUGACCUCAAAAUGCAUGUUUUAGAGCAGAUUUUAGCUCUAAAUAUAUUAUUUCAUGCAGGUUUUCCCAGCAUAUAUCUUAUUACCAUUACUCUUCUGACUACACACAGUUAUACCCCCUGCCCCUCUGUGAUUUAAACGCAGCUCACACAGUAUAAAGGCUAACUCCAGCUGGAUGGAUAAAAUCGAAACAUAAAAGAAACAUAAAUGUUCUUUUGAAAUGUUGCACAGAUUUGAAACUCUGAGGUGAUCACAGGCCUCAUUCUCACAUGAGCAGCAUAGUUAAAACCUGCUUUUUACCAUCAGUGAAUGUGCAUGAAAUGCUGAAUGCUUCUGAUCCUGGAGGAUUGUAACUCACUGCUCACAGGAAUCACAAAACAGCAGCAGACUCUGCUUCAGCUCCUGGGUUUGAGUUUAAAAUGGGAAUCCGUCUACGAGCUGCACUGAGAUCAUCACAUCAGGUUUCCAGUUAGUUUUGUGGUUGAUUUUUAAAUCUCAGGGAUGUUUUUAAGGCCUGUGUGUCUGGGAGCUCAGUAUCUCUCUGCUGCUCUCACCUCCAUCGCGUUUAAAGGAGAAGUGGAGAGGAGAGGUGGACUGAUGUUUCCUCAACUCAUCUCUAAUCACACCUGAGAGGUUAAAGGUCAGCAUCCAGCCUUUUGUGUUUGAAAUGAUGAAGAGUACUAUAAACUAACAGAGUUUAUCUACAUGUGCUUUUGGUAAAAAUAAAUCCUCUUUAUUAUUAAUCAAAGAAGAGUUUCUGUUGUAUUGUUG
ensembl:lncRNA